rnacentral:rRNA from 1 species
UACGUAGGGUCCGAGCGUUGUCCGGAAUUAUUGGGCGUAAAGAGCUCGUAGGCGGUUUGUCGCGUCGGCCGUGAAAUCUCCACGCUUAACGUGGAGCGUGCGGUCGAUACGGGCAGACUUGAGUUCGGUAGGGGAGACUGGAAUUCCUGGUGUAGCGGUGAAAUGUGCAGAUAUCAGGAGGAACACCGGUGGCGAAGGCGGGUCUCUGGGCCGAUACUGACGCUGAGGAGCGAAAGCGUGGGGAGCGAACAGG